UAGGAGUUCUGGUGGAUGAGAAGAUGGAUUUGUGUCAGCAGUGUACACUUUCAGCCCAAAAUGGGGGCUGACAUCCUGGGAUUGCUUCUCCGUCUUGUCUGGAAUCAUCAAAAGAAGCAUGGCCAGAAGCUAGAGAGAGGGAACUGUGCAGCUUUGCUCUGGCUGCCAUCUCUCAGAAUGCUGGGAGCACAGAGAGCUGUGGGAAACGGCGCUGCUAAAGCCUGAGAUCGCUCGCCUUGGAAAGGAGAUGAGAAGCAGCGACAGCAGCACAGAAAAGCUUGGAUGAUACAAUUACAAUAGGAAGAUUCCAGGCUCAUUUUCUCACCAUUUAGAAGACAAAACAUACAUCUAAGGGAGAAGAAAUGUAUUUGUUUACAGACUGAAGGGUCAGCACCCGAGUACAAUGGAGGCAAAUUUAAUGCCACCAUAAGUUAUGUGCAAUGAAGGGCUGCAAGUCUCUCUCCGUGGGGCUGUUGAAGGAGGAAACAAUUAGAAGUGAGAAUUAAUGCCGGCAUUAUUGCGGGGCUGGAGCAGGCUCCUUGCUCACAGCCGCACUGCCUGAGCCGCAGCCUUUUUGGAGGCAGGGAUGUGCUGACAUUCAGGAGUUC